AUGAAGAUAUUACCGGGGGAAGUUGGUCCUCUGAUACUGGUUCCCAUGUUGCAACCUCUGGUACCUAUCAGAAGAGAAACCCAGAAGGAGAAAUGUUCGAUGCAGCUGACGGGAAAAUGUUUGAGGGACACAGACAUUUAACUGUGGGGUCCCUGUGUCAUCUGCAGUGACACCACAACCAGGACUCUUAUCAGCAUCCUCUCCACAUCACCCGCAGCAACACCUGGCCAGCCUGCUCCCUGUCAUGUUCCAGGCGCCGCCUGAGCCAGUCGCUCUCCCUACUCACAGGUGGAUGUGGGCUGUUUGUAGCCGUGACAUUCUGAGCGGGCUGGGCCGCAUCAAAGCCAGCAUAAUAAUGCCCACCUUUGGCAGUUUCCUAAAAAUGGACUCCACAAAAAAGGAACGACCCACUGCUGCACCCCCCACAGCCCGGCCCCCAACAUCAGUACUCAAAGUACAGCGGGGCAGGCAGCGGUCAAGAGGAAGUGUGCAGCUCUGCUGUCUGUUCCCUAAGCAGGCUCCUCCACCUACCUCUGCCCCUUUGCCUGUUGUACUCAACAGACAGUAUUAUGGCUACUUAUACUGUCCCCGGAAAGGUGGUAUGCCAUUUGACCAGUGGAUGGAGGAUAUGUGGAGGAAGAGGGCAGAUAAGAUAGAUUCGUGUCUCUGCCAUCGUUUGUCUCUUAGUGUGUAGAUAGUGUAAAUAAUUUUAAAAGACCAAAAACUGCUUGUUAUAUCUCAGUCUGGUUCUAUUGGUUCAUUGUUGUGAUUAUUAUUAAUUUGCAUGCCAUAUAACGGGUGUAGUAUAUUGACACAUGUGUGAGCCUGGCAAAAUGUGUUGAUUUUUGUUGUUGUGUUUUUUUACAACCCCCCUUAUGACUUGUUUUACUAGUAGAGCUGUGUUUCCUAGCUUUAUUUAUUUUAACAUUUUAACAUUUUUAUUUUAUAUCAUUCCUUUAUUAAUUUCCUUGUGUGUGUGUUCUGGUUACGAGUGUAUGUGAGAAAAUUAAGGUACGGUGGAGUUGGUGAAGUGAGGGAGUCUUAUACUAUAUUUCUACAGCAGUAAUUUUGAAUGAUUUCUACCAUAAAUAUCCGUAAAAACAGGAGUCAAGCCAAGCUGAACUUUUUGUAAACCUAUGCAGAUAACAAUAAAAUGAUCAGAUUUUAUUUAUUUUAAAUCAACAGAACAAUAUUGCAAACUGCAUUCAGAGAACACAGUUACAUUGUUGCUUUCAAUACUUAGGCUAUUCCAUUCAGUGUGAAUUAUAUUUUAUUCAGGGAUUUGGUCUGUUUCUAAAGGAAAAAAAAAAUCAAAAUGUACAAUAAUAAUCAGAAAUAAUUUAUUUCUUUGAUACAUUCUAGUUGAAAAUACACGUUAGAAUUACAAGCCACUCUCAUAUUUCUAUCACUUAUUAAGUAACAUUUGACAUAUUCUCAACACUUGAUGAGAGCUUGGGUAAAGAGAGACCUUUGGAUCUAGUAAAGUGUCCUUUACCCUCCCUUCACCCCCUCCUUCCUCGAGGUUAAAAGUCGGAACUAGCUUCACAUGGAUGUAGCUAACGACAUGCCGUAGCUAGCCCAAAGGAGGCAGGACGAGGGGAAGCGAGAGGUUUAACUUCCACUUCCUUCCUUCUUCGCUUAUGUCCCAGGCAGACACCUGACUGAAACGUUUUAUUUCAAAUGCGUCGAGGGCGUCUUGAAUGUGGAGGAAUAUUAUUCUAUUAAAUAGUCAACCUUUCCUUAGUAAAAUUUUUUGAAAGACACUGAUAGUAUUGUGAGACUGGCGUUUUCUGUGUUGAAUGCUGCCGUUGGCGCAGGCGUACUUUUGUAAUACGUGAUAGUGGUUAUUGUACAAAUUAGUAGGGGGCGAAGUGUAGCGUUACAUUCACCGUCCCAAACAUAUGCUUCAUAUAGCAUAUAUCUAAUUUAUAAUUGAUAAUGGUGUUCCAGGACCUCAGAGCGCCCGGAUAGCUCAGUCGGUAGAGCAUCAGACUUUUAAUCUGAGGGUCCAGGGUUCAAGUCCCUGUUCGGGCGAUAGAUGUUUUGCGUUUAAUAGAGGUCCCUCCAUACUGUGUUCAAGACGGUGGUGAGACCAUUGGUUCUUGCAACCAAUCACCGUUGAGCUUUUCCAUUUUUACUGAGCUGGCAAAGACAUGUUGACCUGGCUGAUAGGUUGUUUAUACAGCCUAUGGUUGAUCCCUAGCUCCCCCACCCCUAGCUAGCUAGCUAGCUAGUUAAAACUUAUUUAUUGUAGAGAAGAAAUGACUAUAACUCAGGGGUUACAUUUAGGUUUUUUUUUAAUAGUUUGUAGUACUCUGUAUUAGCUAGCUCACUGUUUCUUAACAGGCCAUCUCUUCACUGACUUGUAGAGUUUUGCAUUGUUUUUACCUGUUUAUAUUAAUAUUAGUUAUCUAUCAAUGUAUAACAAUGUACAUGUCACAAUGUAUGUUGAUAACCUUACACAUACAGUCAAUAUUUAUUACAGCGUUAUGGGUGCCAAUAGCUAGAUAUUUGGCUGUCCUCAUAGAAAAAUGCAUAACCAUAAUAUUACUGUAACACCCUCAUGUUGCCAUCCCAUACAUUUAUGUGUUUCUUAAUGAGAUAAAGCUACUUUGCACUAUUCUAAACUAGUUUUCAGUGAGCAGCCUUUGUCAAACUAAUGUAUCUACUGAUCUCUUGAUGAUUAUCAACCUUCUGCCUUUAUGAUAUAUUUCUGACUCUCACCUCAGUUUGAUUAAAUUGAGUAAAAUGCACAUUACAACAUGUUUUGGAAAAAUAA